UCCGUAGGCGGGUAAUUAAGUCAGAGGUGAAAUCCCACAGCUCAACUGUGGAACUGCCUUAGAUACUGGUUAUCGUGAGUUUUAGUGAAGUAGAUAGAAUGUGUAGUGUAGCGGUGAAAUGCAUAGAUAUUACACAGAAUACCGAUUGCGAAGGCAGUCUACUAACUAACAACUGACGCUAAUGGACGAAAGCGUGGGGAGCGAACAGGAUUAGAUACCCUGGUAGUCC
rnacentral:rRNA from 1 species